rnacentral:rRNA from 1 species
GAUGAACGCUGGCGGCGUGCUUAAUACAUGCAAGUCGAACGGACAGGCCCUGCUUUUGUUGCUUGCUCGAUUGGCGAACGCGUGAGUAACACGUGUGUAUCCUCCCCUUGUCUUUGGGAUAACUUCUGGAAACUCGGGCUAUUAUCCGAUAUAAGCUCCUGCUGCAUGGUGUUGGUUGGAAAGUUUCGGCGGUUCUGGAUCGACUCGCGGCUUAUCAGCUUCUUGGUGGGGUAGUGGCUUACGAAGCGUUUGACGGCUAGCCGGCCUGAGAGGGUUACCGGCCACAUUGGGACUGAGAGACGGACCAGAAUCCUACGGGAGGCAGCAGUGGGGAAUAUGACAGAAUGGGCGGAAGCCAGAGACAGCAACGCCGCGUGCGGGAUGACGGCCUUCGAGGUGUAAACAGCUUUGGACGGUGACGAAGCGUGAGUGACGGUAAUGAGUAAGGAAGCACCGGCUAACUACGUG